CAGUUUUGGCGGAGCCAUCCUUGGGAUACCACCCUUGUAGGACUGGGACUAAAACCAUAGGCCAUGAAUCUGGUCUUGGGACACUGUCAGGUGGGCAGUUUGACUGGGGCGGUCGCCUCCCAAAAGGUAACGGAGGCGCUCAAAGGUUCUCUCAGUACGGUCGGAAAGCGUACGUAGAGUGUAAAGGCAAAAGAGAGCUUGAUUGCAAGACAUACAGGUCGAGCAAGGAUGAAAAUCGGACUUAGUGAUCCGGUGGUUCUGCGUGGAAGGGCCAUCGCUCAACGGAUAAAAGCUACCCUGGGGAUAACAGGCUUAUCUCCCCCAAGAGUCCACAUCGACGGGGAGGUUUGGCACCUCGAUGUCGGCUCAUCACAUCCUGGGGCUGUAGUAGGUCCCAAGGGUUGGGCUGUUCGCCCAUUAAAGUGGUACGCGAGCUGGGUUCAGAACGUCGUG
rnacentral:rRNA from 1 species